UCCUGUGACCGCCACAAACAGCAGACGGACUGGAGAAAGAAUCUCCACAACGUAACCUAAAACUACUUUAUAAGCUGCUGAUUUGGUGUAUCUGUCACCUUUUUUGGAUGUUUUUCUGCACCUUACUAGCCAAGACAAUUGAGCUGUCAGUCAUUUGACUUUUUCUGAAUAACUCUGAUGCAGCAAACUCAAGUGCUCCAGGUCAUUCGUAUUCAUCCAGGAAGUCACUCAAGGCCCAAUGAAGAUGCACAUGUAGACAUUUCUCACAACUAUUCCUUCCAUAUUUGUCACCAUCCUGUCUUUCCCUCACUCUCUCUCUCUCCCUCCCUCCUUCCGCUUCAACUCAACUUUCCCCUGUCACAGCAUAUUAAAAGUGGUUUACAUGUGCAUGUCCAAUGCGAUGAAUAUGGAUGUGACCUCUUUCUUUGGCGCCUGGCCGCCCGCCUGCCCUCUCGCCAGCACCCCCCCCCAGGCACAAGACACCACUUCUCAAUGAGCACAGCAUGCAUGGGAGACAGAGUUUUGCCCCCACUGGAACACACAUGCGCUCACACACACACACACACACACACUAAGGAAUUAAACUCAUAAUCAUAGCGGCACAUGCACGCAUAUAUAUACAUACAUGCAUGUACGCAUACGCAGGAACACACACCCGACUCUCAUGCUCUCACUUUUUCUCUGCUGCUUCUCCACUGACCUUUCACAAUGUGUUUUACAUAAAAAUAAAAGAAGAAGGGGGUGGUAAAAGGCUGAAGACUGAGUUGAGGGAGGAUGCUGAUUUAUAAUUCAUGUUUGUGACACCUCUAAUGAAACACUGAAAUGGCCUCUGGUCCAUGUCUUUAUAUGUGGGAGUUCAGAGCUUCCAGGCAUGUAGAUACAUGCAUUUUCGCACAUGUUAGGAGGUAUCUCUGCCCUGGUCUGUGAAAGUGUGUUUUCUCAUGUCUUAUGUCAUAAGUCUCUUAUGAAAUACAUACUCAUAUUUCACAUUAGGAGUAUGAUUUCAAAAAUGAAAACUGUAACUAUUUAAAUGCAACAUACAAUGAAGGAAAAUUUGCUAUUUGGCAAAUGUAAUUUUUGUUAAUGACACUGCACCAUGUACAUUAUUUUUAUUUUUUUUCAGGGAUUCAGUGUGCCUAAGGAUCCAAAAAUAGUAUCUUUACAUCUUUAAACAUAAACUUGGAGUGUUCAAUUUUCCUUUUUUUUUAAUUUCUGUUUUUCUCUUUAGAUAUGUUUUAAUGUCUUCAUCAAUUCUAUUUUUUUAAUUUCCCUUUUUAAUUUUUAUUCACAUUUUAUUUACAUUUUCACAUUACUAAUAUGUUGCAUGUGCUAGUCCCUCCAUGUCUUACUGUUUAUAUUUCUGUUUUUUAAUUAUCGGGUUGUAAGUGACACUUGAACGAUUGAUUGACUGAUCUUCUUCACACCACAGUUUCCAUGUACAUUAUCCACUGACUUCAAACAAAGAAACACAUUCUAAGAACAAAGGAAUCAACAAUAUUCUUAUUAUUUUACAUCACGUUGUGCUGGAGUAAAAGUCAAACCUGUUCAUCGGUGACAGCACCAAAAAAAUUAGCGCUUUGGUAUUUUAACAACAAAACAUAGAACAAUUUUUGCACAUGUUUUUCAUUCAAAGCCCUGAUUCAGUCACUUUAAUUGGUGUUCGGUUAUCUUGUUAAGACUAAUUAGACAAUAGCGAAGGUGAUGCUGGGUUUGGCAAUUAGCGCACAGGAGACAAGCUCGGGCUAAUCAUCUCAGGCUUCUUAGUGGCACGUGAGAUGUGAUGCUGGCACAUAGUGGCACACCCACCACACUGAAGGGGGGAGGGAGGUUAAACAUUUGUUUUAUGAUCAGAGACAAACCUGGUGUGUUAAAUUGAGACCAGAGGGGGUGUAUAUAUUUAGAAGGGAAUAUGCGUUAGUAUAGGUCUUGCUCCUCUGCAGCUUAGGAUAUAAAGGAGAAGCUAUUAUCUCUCUUCUUUAUUACUUCAACUCACAUGAAACAUACAGAGAUUGGAGAGCUUGCUUGGGAAAUGAACAACUACCAUCUGUUUCCUCUGUGGCACACAAAGAGAAGGAGACAUUACAGUCACCAGAAAGCUUAACAAACCCAGAAUGUGGAGGUUAAAGGUUUGCCAAAAUGAAACAUUUCAUAUGAAGGUUAAAAAAAAAGUGUUUA